UUCAAUCCUUUAGCAAGUUUGAUUUGAGUCUGUCAAAAAUACUUUAGUUCAAAUUUUAAACUUUUAGUUGUGAGAAUUGUAUAAAAUGUACUAAAUAAAUUUGUAAAUAUAAAGAACGUAUUCAUUCAAAAUUUGAAGUCAAAGUGCUGAUGACCGACUCCAAUUAAUCGAACAAAUUAUAAUGUUGUGUAGUAAAAUCAAAAUAUUGAAAGAUUAAAUAGUCCAUUCAAAAUGUUUUAUAGUUCACCGUUCAGAUAAUUA
rnacentral:lncRNA from 1 species